rnacentral:rRNA from 1 species
CCCUUAGAUGUCCUGGGCCGCACGCGCGCUACACUGAGUGUCUGAGAUACGAGUCUGCCUGGUCCGGCAAGGUCUAGGUAAUCGCUAAAAGACACAUCAUGCUUGGGAUAGAUUAUUGCAAAUAUUAAUCUUGAACGAGGAAUUCCUAGUAAGCGCAAGUCAACAGCUUGCGUUGAUUACGUCCCUGCCCUUUGUACACACCGCCCGUCGCUACUACCGAUUGAAUGGCUUAGUGAGGCUUCCGGAUUGGUUUAGAGAAGGGGGCAACUCCAUCUUGGAACCGAGAAGCUAGUCAAACUUGGUCAUUUAGAGGAAGUAAAAGUCGUAACA